GUAUGAAUGGGUCUACGGCCACAAUGCCGGCCCAUGUAGUUAUGAGUAGAAGACCCGGGGGUUAGCCCUAGGUACAGUAUGCUAGUAUGAUAUUCGGGACGAGGUCCAAUGAUAGAGGGCGGGUGCCCAAGGAAUGGUUUAUGUGAUAGUUUAUACUUGUUGUCUGUGUGAUACUUGUAUGUGCCUGGUAGGGAGGUGAGUGUGGGCGAGGUCCCGUAUCUCACCAAUAGCAGAGUGUGGAUGGUGUUCCACAUCUCAGUAGCAGCAGAUCAGGGGCGAGGCCCAAGUUAGGGAAGGAGUGAGGGUGGGCUGGGCCCGUACCUCACUAUCAGCAGGAGUAUGGACGGGGUUCCAUGACUCAUCAGUAGCAGGACAAGGGCGGGGCCCAGAGAUAGGUGAGGCCUUAGGACAAGAUCCGUUAGAAUGUGUUAAGCUUACGUGAUGUGAUGUGAUAUGUUUAUGUGCUAUUGUAUGUUAGUGGACGAGGCCCUGUGACAGGCGAGGCCUAAAUGAAAUAGAUCUGUAUCCGAGCGGGGCUCGAAGCCAGGCGGGUCCUGGAGCAACGGGGUCGUUGUAGCGGGCGAGGCCCGAGGUAGGGGUUGGCGAGGCCCAGGAUAGCGGGCGUGGCCCAGUAUGUGCAGUAUGUGGUUAUGCAUGGUAUGUGGUAGGGUGGGGAACUCACUAAGCUUUGUGCUUACAGUUUUCAGUUUUGGUGUCAGGUACUUCCGGUAGCGGAUGAUGGAGCUCGGGGUGAUCGCAUGACACACACCAUAAAUUAGUCAGCCUGGGAAUGUUUACUCUGAUAACGAUCAUGUAUUUUGGAAACUAUUACUCUGUUUAUGUUUUGAAAAAAUGAAUUUGCUUAAUGUGAUGUUUUAUUAAAAGAAAUUUUUAGUCUUGAAUUUUGGGACGUUACAAGUUGGUAUCAGAGACUUGGUUUGAGGGAUUCGGACAUGCUCUCGGGUGUGCCUAAACUCAAACCGAGGAAUUGGUAUAGAAGUUUUCAAAAUGAAAAGACAGUUUUGUAAAAAGAGAGUUUUGGGAAAGAAAACAGUUUUAGAAAAGCAAAAAUAAUUCAGAAAGAAAAGAACUUUGAAAAGAGAAAAAGGGUGUGGUGCAUGCAAUCAACCGAGCUCAAGUAAGUACCCCAAAAUACCCAUACAAGAUUAUGUUUUGAUUAUCAGUUAGUAGAACAGCAUGCUAGAAUAGGGCUAAGGAUCUAGGGGUGAUGCCUUAUGUGCCUGUUAUAUGUGUUUUCGAGCUGCAAGAUAGUGCUGAUUAGACAGUNGUUAUAUGUGCUUUCGAGCUGCAUGAUAGUGCUGAUUAGACAGUAGUCGGAUAGCCUGUUUAGGUUAUGCCUGAGUCUAUGAGUUUGUGUGGGUCUAUGAGUUUGUGUUGCAUGCUAGUUCAGUUUCUUGCUAUGUGGAUAUGAUUGCUUGAGUAUGUUGUGGUUAGAUUUCCCUUUGUCUGAAUGCUGCUUGCUUUGUGAAUUGUGGGAUUCUGAGUGAUGAAAGAUAGCCAUCAGUUGGAUACGACACGUCACAUGUGAUCAGGGUUGAAUAAUCUCAGAGUGCUGGAUUUGGUCCUAUUGCGCAGCUCUUGAUUGAGUCUAACCAUUGUAGGGACGAGUCUUUUACUUGAAGGAUUAUCUGAGCCUCGUCACAUGUGAUGGUAUUCAGGUGAUGGCUAAUUGGCAUCACAAGGAGACCCUCAGCAACUGAGGAUUGGUUUGAGCUGAGUCAGAGGUUUUCCUAGGGUAAGCCUAGGAUGAGAUAGUGUUGGUAGCAGUAGUAGUGGUUAAGGGACCUGGUGGAGUCAAAGCAAUUCCUGAGGAAAGUACGGAUAGAUGUGAAAGGUAGUAUAGGCCCGUACUACUGAAAGCAGAGGAUCCGUACCCGAUUCAGGAAAGGCCGAGACAAGACCGGUAACCUGGUAGGGUGUGUUUGGUCUCGCAUCGGUGAUCAGUAUUCUGAUAGUGGUUGUGGUAUAUUUUCAGCAUGGUGACGUUGCGAGAGAGACCAGCGGGUGGAUCAGGCGCCGGAGAGGGAUCAGGCUCGGGUUCAGGGUCCGAGCAGCUCGAGGAGCGAAUGAGGGAGUUGAUAUCCGCUGAGGUUACGUGCAGUAUUUGAAUCAGACUCCUGUGAUCUUUGGCACGGUCAAGGAGGGUAUAUUGGAGAUUUUGGAUGAGAGGUUGGGAGCCUUCCGUACUGAGAUGAUGGCUUUGAUGGGAGUGCGUACCUUGACAUUUCGGGAGUUCAUCGCUUGCGGGGCACCAGAUUAUCAUGGGGCUAGGGACCCCAUCGCUAGCAGCAGAUGGUUGGCUGAUGUUGCCAACACAUUCCGUAUGAGCCGGUGCCCUGACGGGGACAAGGUCAGACUCUCUUGCUGUCUUCUGAACGACAGAGCGAGGGAUUGGUGGGAGGAGAUUGGUCAUGCUUUGGGGGAUGAUGCCGCGUUGGACGCGAUGACUUGGAGCGAUUUCUCGGCCAGGUUCAGGGCGGAGUUUUCGCCGAUUAUUGAGGUGCAGCAGUUGGCAUGGGAGUUUCAGGAUUUGACACAGACCACUGAGACUGUGGCGGAGAUCACCGCCAAGUUUAGGGAGAGGGCUCUUCUUGUACCGCAGUAUGUCGCGGAUGAGGAGAUGAAGAAGGCCCGAUACCAUGAGAUGUUGAGGGAUGACAUCAGGGAGUUCGUGAGCAGAUCCAGCUGUAAGACGCUGGAAGAUAUGAUUUCUCGGGCUAGAGAGAGGGAAAUUGAUUUGGAGCAGAUCCGGAAGAGGAAGCCGGAUGAGGUUCAGGUAGCUGCAGGUUCGGGCAAAAGGCCCAAGGGAUCGGAUUCGAGAUCGAGGGAUUAUCAGGACCGAAGUCGGUGAGGGAAGUGUGGCAGGGCGCACGGGGGCGCGUGCAGGAGUGGUAGCGGUGGUGAGUCUGGCUGUUUCAAGUGCGGUCAGACUGGUCAUUUCAGCAGGGAUUGUACUGUUACCACCGCGCAUGGAUCAGACUUGUUAUGUUUUCAUUGCCAUCAGCGGGGCCACAAGAAGGCCCAGUGCCCCAGUUUGUUUUCAGCAGGGUGGGUGAUGGCACAUGCCCCUGCAACUUUGAGGAUCACAGACGGCCGUCAAGGCCGUGCAGAGGCGCCUGCGGUGGGAGGCAGAGCUCUUCAGAUGACUACCUUAGAGGCGUGAUCAGCACCGGACGUUGCAGGUAUGCAAUUUCUAUUUUCAGUUCUUUUAUUUGUGCAUGAUUAUAUUGUUAUGGUUCUGCAUCAUUAUCGGUAUGAGUAUUUUAUUUUUUUUUUAUUAUUUUUUUUUGAGCGGUUGAUUGUGAUCGAGUUAUAUGCCAUCUGCAUACCUUGGAUAUUCGAAUGGUAGUGAGGGGAUGUGCCCUAUUGGAGAAGGUUACAUAGGAUGCAGUAACUGUAGCAUGCUUGGGAGGGACUUGGUAUGUCUCGCUAGAUCGGAGUUGUAUAGUGUUAGAGAUGGAUUGGUUAGAUCCCUAGCUAUGGUAAGCUUGGGUUCCUCAGCAGAUUGAUUAUGGAAUGGUAGCAAGGAUUUCUUUUGAGUAUUGAGCAACAAGGGGUAAGCAGGAUCGAAGUGGGGGAGAAUCCUCCGAGUGUGCAAAGGUAGGAGCACGCAGACCCAGAAUGAGUGCGCGACCUCCGAGAAGGAAAAGAAGUGGUUCAGCGUUUGAUGGAUUGAGGAUUUCAGGGUUGGGAGUUUGAGAAACUCCCCAUCAGCUAGUGCGUGUGAUGGUAAUGGUUAGUACGUGGUUGGGAAUUCAGGUUGUGGAUCGCCCGUAGGACUCGAGGGAGUCGGAAUGAGGAUCUUGAGAGCUAAUGGCACAUGGGUGCCUUCGUAUUAGCAGUCAGUGGUAGAAAGUGAUGUAAGACUACGGGGCAGUCGUAGCAUUCACUAGCAGUCAGUGGUAGAAAGUGAUGUAAGACUACGGGGCAGUCGUAGCAUUCACUAGAGGUUAGUGGUGGAAGCGUUGUAAGACUACGGGUAAGCCGUAGCAUUCCUUAGUAGCUUCGUUAGCGGAGUUGGGGCGAGGCCCUUAUCUCCUAGUGAUCAGAUAGGGAUCAGGAAUGGGUAGUGGAUGAGAAUGAUAGGGAGUUUGCUUGUAUAGCCCUAGAGAGGUGAGACCUUGGGAGAGGCCGCUCCAGGAUAUAGUUGGGUGAGACCCGUGGGCGAGGCCCGUAUGAGAUUAGCAGUGUAGAUGAGACCUGAGAGCAGGGUUGCUCAGUAGUAUGGUUGGGUGAGACCCGUGGGCGAGGCCCGAGCGAGAGUGAUUAGACUAGUGGGACUAGAAGGAUAGAGGCGGGUGGGACCCGUGGGCGAGGCCCGUGAGUUUUAGCAGCACAGGUGGGACCUGGUAGGGACCUUAGUGUCAAGUUAGGGGAUCGAGAAUCCCAGGUUUGUAGUGCCUGAAUAGCAGAGUAGAUUGAGCAGUUAUAGGUGAUCGAAGUUCUUUGGAAGUCGCUGGGAGCGACUAGUGGUGGUGUUGGGACUAGCUACCGGUGGGAGCCGGUAAUCCAGUCAUUGAUAGGUUGGUAGGGACCAGGGUGGUCUCAGUUCAUCCGGAAGGCAGACAAGGAAUAGCAGAAUUUUCAGUCAGUAGUACUGCGGGUAAGCAGUGUAUGGUGGAAUUCAGUUAGUUGAAUCGAGGGGUGCUCGGCACCAAGUUUUGACAGAGAAGAGUGUCAGUGGUUACUGACGGUGAUGACCCGUACUGGAAAUACCGGGGGUGAUGGAGUUGGUGAAGGAUAGGACCUUCACAGUGACAGAGGAAAUAGUUGGAUAUGGAGCAUCGCCUUAGGAAGGCAAGGGAAUCGCGUAAGGAAAGAAGGGGUCAACCCCUAUGAGUUCAAGUGCAGUACUCGGAGAAUACCAGAAGGAUUGUCGGUUGAGUAAGUUGUGUUUCUAAGUUGUUCAGGGUCAGGUUUGACCCGAGGUUUUAUCCGCGAGGUUUAUGUUAGUCAGAAUGACCAGGUGGAAGACCAGCGAAGGUAGGCAGCUGGUGUUGGGAUAAUUGGUGGGUUUUGGAAGCAGAUCGCAGGCGGUGGACCAUGGCAAACUUCGAGGACGAAGUUUAGUUUAAGUGGGGGAGAGUUGUAACACACAAUGUUUUGAAGGCCAAGAAAGGAAAGAAAACCCUAACUUUAAGGGGGGGGGGACUCGGCGAGUCCAAACGGGAUCCGGGUCGAGGAGUAAGUGACCGACUCGGCGAGUCAGGUCUGUUCGAGGAAAACCCUAAAUCCGGGACUUUGGGCGCUAUUUAAACUCCUUAUUCUCUCCAUUAGGGUUCCUUAGAGCCUCCCUCAUACAGAAAACGAACCCUAAGCCCCCAUUGUUGUGCAUUCAAGCUUCCAAGUCAUUUUUGGGUGAAUUGAAGGAAGAAGAAAGAGGGAAAUCAUUGAAGUCUCAAGGAUUGGCCUUAGAUCUGGAGUUUGUGGAACCUUUCUGAGUUAUUGAAGGUAAUAAGUCGUUUCUUUCCUUUAGAUCUUCUUUAGUUGUGAGAUUUGGGGCUUUUUAAGCCAUGGAUAGUCAUCCAUUUGAGUUAGAAGCCGGAUCUGGAGUUGCUACUUCAGAUCCAAACAUACUAUGGUCUUGAGAAGCAUAAAGUUUCAGCCCUUGAGUUGAUUAUGGAGCCUCCUUGCCUUAAACCCUAGUUUAUGGUGUAUUUUGCCUAGAUCUCCUUCUCUACAUGUAAAGUUUGCAACUUUACGUGAGGAAUAGGCUUGGGAAGGGUAGAUCUACGGUUUGGAGUCCAUGCAUGACUCAAAAGUCCUCUGUAUGUAUAGAGAUCUAAAUGUACUUGGCGAGUCCUUUGAGUGGACUCGGCAAGUAGCAUAAAGAUGAGGAGGAACUCGACGAGUGGGAUGAACAGCUCAUUGAGUCAGAUGAAGUUGGGUAGGAACUCGGCGAUUUGGAUGAACAACUCGACGAGUCUGUUGAAGGUUGUCUUGGACUCUGCGAGUCUGUUCUUGGACUCGACGAGUCAGGUCGCGAAACCCCAAACCCUUCAAGUUGAGACUUGAAUCAGUGAGUCGAGUGGAGACUUGGUGAGUUGGACAGGUUAGGACUCGGAAAUCGGUAGACUCGGCGAGUCGUGGACUGACUCGGCGAGUCGAGAUGCGAAUGGAAGAACUCUGAACAUAUGAACUCGGCGAGUCAAUAGGGUGACUCGGCGAGUAGGGUUGACCUGGAAGGUUGACUUUGACCAGGACUUUGUCUUUGACUGGAGUUGACUUGGUUGACUGUCGGGGGUCAACUAGACUAAGUGUUGCAUUGAUUUUGGUAGCUCGGGAAGCUAGUGGAGUAGAAGUUCAGAGAGUUGCCGGUCAGCAGCCAGUGGGAUCAUCAGCUAGUUCAGCCAGUGCAGGUGAGUUUCCUUUUGUAUGAAUGGGUCUACGACCACAAUGCCGGCCCAUGUAGUUAUGAGUAGAAGACCCGGGGGUUAGCCCUAGGCACAGUAUGCUAGUAUGAUAUUCGGGACGAGGUCCAAUGAUAGAGGGCGGGUGCCCAAGGAAUGGUUUAUGUGAUAGUUUAUACUUGUUGUCUGUGUGAUACUUGUAUGUGCCUGGUAGGGAGGUGAGUGUGGGCGAGGUCCCGUAUCUCACCAAUAGCAGAGUGUGGAUGGUGUUCCACAUCUCAGUAGCAGCAGAUCAGGGGCGAGGCCCAAGUUAGGGAAGGAGUGAGGGUGGGUUGGUCCCGUACCUCACUAUCAGCAGGAGUAUGGACGGGGUUCCAUGACUCAUCAGUAGCAGGACAAGGGCGGGGCCCAGAGAUAGGUGAGGCCAUAGGACAAGAUCCGUUAGAAUGUGUUAAGCUUACGUGAUGUGAUGUGAUAUGUUUAUGUGCUAUUGUAUGUUAGUGGGCGAGGCCCUGUGACAGGCGAGGCCUAAAUGAAACAAAUAUGU
rnacentral:lncRNA from 1 species